GGUUAAGCGACUAAGCGUACACGGUGGAUGCCCUGGCAGUCAGAGGCGAUGAAGGACGUGCUAAUCUGCGAUAAGCGUCGGUAAGGUGAUAUGAACCGUUAUAACCGGCGAUUUCCGAAUGGGGAAACCCAGUGUGAUUCGUCACACUAUCAUUAACUGAAUCCAUAGGUUAAUGAGGCGAACCGGGGGAACUGAAACAUCUAAGUACCCCGAGGAAAAGAAAUCAACCGAGAUUCCCCCAGUAGCGGCGAGCGAACGGGGAGCAGCCCAGAGCCUGAAUCAGUGUGUGUGUUAGUGGAAGCGUCUGGAAAGGCGCGCGAUACAGGGUGACAGCCCCGUACACAAAAAUGCACAUGCUGUGAGCUCGAUGAGUAGGGCGGGACACGUGGUAUCCUGUCUGAAUAUGGGGGGACCAUCCUCCAAGGCUAAAUACUCCUGACUGACCGAUAGUGAACCAGUACCGUGAGGGAAAGGCGAAAAGAACCCCGGCGAGGGGAGUGAAAAAGAACCUGAAACCGUGUACGUACAAGCAGUGGGAGCCUCUUUAUGGGGUGACUGCGUACCUUUUGUAUAAUGGGUCAGCGACUUAUAUUCUGUAGCAAGGUUAACCGAAUAGGGGAGCCGAAGGGAAACCGAGUCUUAACUGGGCGUUAAGUUGCAGGGUAUAGACCCGAAACCCGGUGAUCUAGCCAUGGGCAGGUUGAAGGUUGGGUAACACUAACUGGAGGACCGAACCGACUAAUGUUGAAAAAUUAGCGGAUGACUUGUGGCUGGGGGUGAAAGGCCAAUCAAACCGGGAGAUAGCUGGUUCUCCCCGAAAGCUAUUUAGGUAGCGCCUCGUGAACUCAUCUCCGGGGGUAGAGCACUGUUUCGGCAAGGGGGUCAUCCCGACUUACCAACCCGAUGCAAACUGCGAAUACCGGAGAAUGUUAUCACGGGAGACACACGGCGGGUGCUAACGUCCGUCGUGAA
rnacentral:rRNA from 1 species